CCUACGGGAGGCAGCCGGAAUCUUGCGCAAUGGGGGNAACCCUGACGCAGCCACGCCCGUGCCGGAAGACGGUCCUAUGGAUUGUAAACAGCUUUUAUUCGGGAAGAAUGUCCGGGUUUCGACCUGUNUUGACAGUACCAUAUGAAUAAGCACCGGCUAACUCCGUGCCAGCAGCCGCGGUAAUACGGAGGGUGCAAGUGUUGUCCGGAAUCAUUGGGAGUAAAGGGUGCGCAGGCGGGCAUUUAAGUCUGNGGUGAAAUCUUGCCGCUUAACGGUAAAAUUGCCUUGGAUAGUGGAUGUAGUGAAUAAGAGAGAGGUCGANGGAAUUNGUGGUGGAGCGGUGAAAUGCAUAGAUAUCGGNAAGACCAUCAGUGGGGAAGGCGUCCGGCUGGGUCAGUAUUGACGGUGAGGCAAGAGAGCGUGGGGAGCAAACAGGAAUAGAUACCCUGNUAGUCCACGCUGUAAACGAUGUGUGGUAGUUGUGGGNCCUUNUCAGUGACGCAGUUAACGCANUAAGCNC
rnacentral:rRNA from 1 species